rnacentral:rRNA from 1 species
CCUACGGGUGGCAGCAGUGGGGAAUAUUGGGCAAUGGGCGCAAGCCUGACCCAGCAACGCCGCGUGAGGGAAGAAGGCUUUCGGGUUGUAAACUUCUUUUCUCAGGGACGCAGAAAGUGACGGUACCUGAGGAAUAAGCCACGGCUAACUACGUGCAAGCAGCCGCGGUAAUACGUAGGGGGCACGCGUUAUCCGGAUUUAUUGGGUGUAAAGGGCGUGUAGGCGGGAGUGUAAGUCAGAUGUGAAAUCCCAGGGCUUAACCCUGGGCCUGCAUUUGAAACUGUGUGUCUUGAGUGCUGGAGAGGCAAUCGGAAUGCCGGGUGUAGCGGUGAAAUGCGUAGAUAUACGGAGGAACACCAGUGGCGAAGGCGGAUUGCUGGACAGUAACUGACGCUGAGGCGCGAAAGCGUGGGGAGCAAACAGGAUUAGAUACCCUUGUAGUC